GUGAGACUCUAUUGUUAGGGAAAAUCCAGGUGUUGCGGGGUCCGGAGCCAUGUGAUACCCGGUUGCAAACUGACUUCUCCUACCCACCUAGAACCUCUGCAAACACCAGCAGCUCCCAGGACUCACAGGUCUGAUUCAGGAGGGAUGCUGAACCUGAAGUCACAAGACAGCUGGUCAGGAUCCGAAGAUGGGCAGGAAGUCGGGGAGAGCAGGGAAAACUGAAACUCAUAAGGACCCCACGGGAGUGUGCAUCUGUCUGUCCCUGAAAGCCACAUUGGCCCCUUUCCAUCCCAUCUCUAAGCCUCCACCCUUGUGGCCGAGGCUGCUCUGAAGAGAGGCUGGUGUUCUUGCUGCAGAGCCCCGCUCACUCCUGGACCAGGCUUUGUAAAGCUGAAGGAAGCAAUUCCAGGGACCGGAGCUUUGGACCCAGUCAGUAUAGUGAGCGAGCAGAUCUGUGAAAAUAUGUGUGAGCCGCAACAGAGUCCAGCCUCCACGGCCCUUUCAAGGAUAAACACGGCUCCGCUCCACUUCCACCUUCCAGAUCUUGCACAAGUUGUUCCUAUGCCCAUCCUAACCAGGAACAUGCAGGGAACGGAAUUCUGGGAAAUGUAGUUCAGCUUAGCCGAGUCAACACAUUACAAAGCCACCGCAUGGGAAAAUAAAAGUUUAUUGCUAUAAGCCACUUACAAAAAAAUUUAUAUGCUACAGAAAAUGGUCUCUGGAAUUUACCAAGUCUCUCUCUCUCUCUCUGUCUCUUUCUCUCUCUUUCUCUCUCUCUCUCUCUCCUGGCUCCAACUUAGCACUUCCUUCAGAAGUACUCAGUUUUGCCUUUCAUUUUUUUCAUGUAAAUGCAGAAAUAAAUUUCUCCAGUUUACUGAAAAGUAUCUCCCAGAGGGACCAAGGCAGGCAGGAAAUUAAACUAUGGUGCUGGAAUCAUUUUACCAUACCAGCUUUACCCCACGAAUGUAAAUUUAGGGAAUUCCACUUGUCAAAGUCCUCUUUGAAGCUUUGAAUAAUUGGAUCCCAAUUAUUCUUAACCACGUUAUACAGGCCUGUGCUCCUCUUAAUAUCUAAAUAGAUCUCAUUUUUUGCCACCUACUAAAAUUCUCCAAAGUGAAUAUUGCCACAUUAUGCUCUCCAGUUAAGAGUGAAAUUUCUGACUAAAAAUGUUUUUUACUCAUAUCCAGAGAUGGCUGCAAAUUUCUCCAUGAUAACUAAAGCUGUGAGAAUUGGCAUCACAUUUGAAUUGGUAUUAACUCGUAGUAAAAAUAUGCUCAGCAAGAAGAAAUCAUUGUACUUUCUACCAAUCAUUUUAAUACCUGAGACAUCUUCUUUCUUACUAAUAGCUAUUCAUAAUGGUUAUAAAGUCAAAACAGAUAGCACAGAAUAUAAAGGAAAAUCAUAGUAUCUGGAAAGCAUCCCUUUGAACAGGCUGGAUACAAUAU
rnacentral:lncRNA from 10 species